GACGAACGCUGGCGGCGUGCCUAAUACAUGCAAGUCGAACGGUCUUUUCUAUGGAAGCUUGCUUCCACUGAGAAGAUAGUGGCGAACGGGUGAGUAACACGUGGGUAACCUGCCCAUAAGAGGGGGAUAACAUCCGGAAACGGGUGCUAAUACCGCAUAGUUUUCUUGAUCGCAUGAUCGAGAAAGGAAAGACGGCCUUUGUGCUGUCGCUUAUGGAUGGACCCGCGGCGUAUUAGUUAGUUGGUGGGGUAACGGCUAACCAAGACGAUGAUACGUAGCCGACCUGAGAGGGUGAUCGGCCACAUUGGGACUGAGACACGGCCCAAACUCCUACGGGAGGCAGCAGUAGGGAAUCUUCCGCAAUGGACGAAAGUCUGACGGAGCAACGCCGCGUGAGUGAAGAAGGUUUUCGGAUCGUAAAACUCUGUUGUCAGAGAAGAACAAGUCGGAGAGUAACUGCUCCGGCCUUGACGGUAUCUGACCAGAAAGCCACGGCUAACUACGUGCCAGCAGCCGCCGUAACAC
rnacentral:rRNA from 1 species